rnacentral:rRNA from 1 species
GACGAACGCUGGCGGCGUGCCUAAUACAUGCAAGUAGAACGCUGAAGGAGGAGCUUGCUUCUCUGGAUGAGUUGCGAACGGGUGAGUAACGCGUAGGUAACCUGCCUGGUAGCGGGGGAUAACUAUUGGAAACGAUAGCUAAUACCGCAUAAUAGUAGAUGUUGCAUGACAUUUGCUUAAAAGGUGCAAUUGCAUCACUACCAGAUGGACCUGCGUUGUAUUAGCUAGUUGGUGAGGUAACGGCUCACCAAGGCAACGAUAUAUAGCCGACCUGAGAGGGUGAUCGGCCACACUGGGACUGAGACACGGCCCAGACUCCUACGGGAGGCAGCAGUAGGGAAUCUUCGGCAAUGGACGGAAGUCUGACCGAGCAACGCCGCGUGAGUGAAGAAGGUUUUCGGAUCGUAAAGCUCUGUUGUAAGAGAAGAACGAGUGUGAGAGUGGAAAGUUCACACUGUGACGGUAUCUUACCAGAAAGGGACGGCUAACUACGUG